CUACGUAGGGUGCGAGCGUUGUCCGGAAUUACUGGGCGUAAAGAGCUCGUAGGUGGUUUGUCGCGUCGUCUGUGAAAUUCCGGGGCUUAACUCCGGGCGUGCAGGCGAUACGGGCAUAACUUGAGUACUGUAGGGGAGACUGGAAUUCCUGGUGUAGCGGUGAAAUGCGCAGAUAUCAGGAGGAACACCGGUGGCGAAGGCGGGUCUCUGGGCAGUAACUGACGCUGAGGGGCGAAAGCAUGGGUAGCGAACAGGAUUAGAUACCCUGGUAGUCCAUGCCGUAAACGGUGGGCGCUAGGUGUAGGGGUCUUCCACGACUUCUGUGCCGUAGCUAACGCAUUAAGCGCCCCGCCUGGGGAGUACGGCCGCAAGGCUAAAACUCAAAUGAAUUGACGGGG
rnacentral:rRNA from 1 species